rnacentral:rRNA from 1 species
AAAUUGAAGAGUUUGAUCAUGGCUCAGAUUGAACGCUGGCGGCAGGCCUAACACAUGCAAGUCGAGCGGUAGCACAGGAGAGCUUGCUCUCUGGGUGACGAGCGGCGGACGGGUGAGUAAUGUCUGGGAAACUGCCUGAUGGAGGGGGAUAACUACUGGAAACGGUAGCUAAUACCGCAUAACCUCGCAAGAGCAAAGAGGGGGACCUUCGGGCCUCUCGCCAUCAGAUGUGCCCAGAUGGGAUUAGCUAGUAGGUGAGGUAAUGGCUCACCUAGGCGACGAUCCCUAGCUGGUCUGAGAGGAUGACCAGCCACACUGGAACUGAGACACGGUCCAGACUCCUACGGGAGGCAGCAGUGGGGAAUAUUGCACAAUGGGCGCAAGCCUGAUGCAGCCAUGCCGCGUGUGUGAAGAAGGCCUUCGGGUUGUAAAGCACUUUCAGCGGGGAGGAAGGCGAUAAGGUUAAUAACCUUGUCGAUUGACGUUACCCGCAGAAGAAGCACCGGCUAACUCCGUGCCAGCAGCCGCGGUAAUACGGAGGGUGCAAGCGUUAAUCGGAAUGACUGGGCGUAAAGCGCACGCAGGCGGUCUGUUAAGUUGGAUGUGAAAUCCCCGGGCUUAACCUGGGAACUGCAUUCAAAACUGACAGGCUAGAGUCUUGUAGAGGGGGGUAGAAUUCCAGGUGUAGCGGUGAAAUGCGUAGAGAUCUGGAGGAAUACCGGUGGCGAAGGCGGCCCCCUGGACAAAGACUGACGCUCAGGUGCGAAAGCGUGGGGAGCAAACAGGAUUAGAUACCCUGGUAGUCCACGCUGUAAACGAUGUCGACUUGGAGGUUGUGCCCUUGAGGCGUGGCUUCCGGAGCUAACGCGUUAAGUCGACCGCCUGGGGAGUACGGCCGCAAGGUUAAAACUCAAAUGAAUUGACGGGGGCCCGCACAAGCGGUGGAGCAUGUGGUUUAAUUCGAUGCAACGCGAAGAACCUUACCUACUCUUGACAUCCAGAGAAUUUGCUAGAGAUAGCUUAGUGCCUUCGGGAACUCUGAGACAGGUGCUGCAUGGCUGUCGUCAGCUCGUGUUGUGAAAUGUUGGGUUAAGUCCCGCAACGAGCGCAACCCUUAUCCUUUGUUGCCAGCGAUUCGGUCGGGAACUCAAAGGAGACUGCCGGUGAUAAACCGGAGGAAGGUGGGGAUGACGUCAAGUCAUCAUGGCCCUUACGAGUAGGGCUACACACGUGCUACAAUGGCGUAUACAAAGAGAAGCGACCUCGCGAGAGUAAGCGGACCUCAUAAAGUACGUCGUAGUCCGGAUUGGAGUCUGCAACUCGACUCCAUGAAGUCGGAAUCGCUAGUAAUCGUAGAUCAGAAUGCUACGGUGAAUACGUUCCCGGGCCUUGUACACACCGCCCGUCACACCAUGGGAGUGGGUUGCAAAAGAAGUAGGUAGCUUAACCUUCGGGAGGGCGCUUACCACUUUGUGAUUCAUGACUGGGGUGAAGUCGUAACAAGGUAACCGUAGGGGAACCUGCGGUUGGAUCACCUCCUUACC